UAAAAUGAGAGUUUGAUCCUGGCUCAGGACGAACGCUGGCGGCGUGCCUAAUACAUGCAAGUCGAGCGAGCGGAACUAACAGAUUUGCCUCGGUAAUGACGUUAGGAAAGCGAGCGGCGGAUGGGUGAGUAACACGUGGGGAACCUGCCCCAUAGUCUGGGAUACCACUUGGAAACAGGUGCUAAUACCGGAUAAGAAAGCAGAUCGCAUGAUCAGCUUUUAAAAGGCGGCGUAAGCUGUCGCUAUGGGAUGGCCCCGCGGUGCAUUAGCUAGUUGGUAAGGUAAAGGCUUACCAAGGCGAUGAUGCAUAGCCGAGUUGAGAGACUGAUCGGCCACAUUGGGACUGAGACACGGCCCAAACUCCUACGGGAGGCAGCAGUAGGGAAUCUUCCACAAUGGACGCAAGUCUGAUGGAGCAACGCCGCGUGAGUGAAGAAGGUUUUCGGAUCGUAAAGCUCUGUUGUUGGUGAAGAAGGAUAGAGGUAGUAACUGGCCUUUAUUUGACGGUAAUCAACCAGAAAGUCACGGCUAACUACGUGCCAGCAGCCGCGGUAAUACGUAGGUGGCAAGCGUUGUCCGGAUUUAUUGGGCGUAAAGCGAGCGCAGGCGGAAGAAUAAGUCUGAUGUGAAAGCCCUCGGCUUAACCGAGGAACUGCAUCGGAAACUGUUUUUCUUGAGUGCAGAAGAGGAGAGUGGAACUCCAUGUGUAGCGGUGGAAUGCGUAGAUAUAUGGAAGAACACCAGUGGCGAAGGCGGCUCUCUGGUCUGCAACUGACGCUGAGGCUCGAAAGCAUGGGUAGCGAACAGGAUUAGAUACCCUGGUAGUCCAUGCCGUAAACGAUGAGUGCUAAGUGUUGGGAGGUUUCCGCCUCUCAGUGCUGCAGCUAACGCAUUAAGCACUCCGCCUGGGGAGUACGACCGCAAGGUUGAAACUCAAAGGAAUUGACGGGGGCCCGCACAAGCGGUGGAGCAUGUGGUUUAAUUCGAAGCAACGCGAAGAACCUUACCAGGUCUUGACAUCUAGUGCCAUUUGUAGAGAUACAAAGUUCCCUUCGGGGACGCUAAGACAGGUGGUGCAUGGCUGUCGUCAGCUCGUGUCGUGAGAUGUUGGGUUAAGUCCCGCAACGAGCGCAACCCUUGUUAUUAGUUGCCAGCAUUAAGUUGGGCACUCUAAUGAGACUGCCGGUGACAAACCGGAGGAAGGUGGGGAUGACGUCAAGUCAUCAUGCCCCUUAUGACCUGGGCUACACACGUGCUACAAUGGGCAGUACAACGAGAAGCGAGCCUGCGAAGGCAAGCGAAUCUCUGAAAGCUGUUCUCAGUUCGGACUGCAGUCUGCAACUCGACUGCACGAAGCUGGAAUCGCUAGUAAUCGCGGAUCAGCACGCCGCGGUGAAUACGUUCCCGGGCCUUGUACACACCGCCCGUCACACCAUGGGAGUCUGCAAUGCCCAAAGCCGGUGGCCUAACCUUCGGGAAGGAGCCGUCUAAGGCAGGGCAGAUGACUGGGGUGAAGUCGUAACAAGGUAGCCGUAGGAGAACCUGCGGCUGGAUCACCUCCUUU
rnacentral:rRNA from 1 species